rnacentral:rRNA from 1 species
AUUGAACGCUGGCGGCAUGCCUUACACAUGCAAGUCGAACGGCAGCACGGGUGCUUGCACCUGGUGGCGAGUGGCGAACGGGUGAGUAAUACAUCGGAACGUACCUUAUCGUGGGGGAUAACGCAGCGAAAGCCGUGCUAAUACCGCAUACGCCCUGCGGGGGAAAGCGGGGGAUCGAAAGACCUCGCGCGAUUAGAGCGGCCGAUGCCUGAUUAGCUUGUUGGUGGGGUAAAAGCCCACCAAGGCGACGAUCAGUAGCUGGUCUGAGAGGACGAUCAGCCACACUGGGACUGAGACACGGCCCAGACUCCUACGGGAGGCAGCAGUGGGGAAUUUUGGACAAUGGGGGCAACCCUGAUCCAGCAAUGCCGCGUGAGUGAAGAAGGCCUUCGGGUUGUAAAGCUCUUUUGUCAGGGAAGAAACACCGGCUCUAACACAGUCCGGGAAUGACGGUACCUGAAGAAUAAGCACCGGCUAACUACGUGCCAGCAGCCGCGUAA